GCGGGCAGGUUGAGAUCUCCAA
rnacentral:siRNA from 1 species